CCUACGGGUGGCAGCAGUGAGGAAUAUUGGUCAAUGGCCGGAAGGCUGAACCAGCCAUGCCGCGUGAAGGUCAGUGCCCUAUGGGCGUUAAACUUCUUUUGUGCGGGAGCAAUAAUGGUCACGUGUGGCCAGACGAGAGUACCGUACGAAUAAGCAUCGGCUAACUCCGUGCCAGCAGCCGCGGUAAUACGGGGGAUGCACGCGUUAUCCGGAUUUAUUGGGUUUAAAGGGUGCGUAGGCUGGUAGGUAAGUCAGCGGUGAAAUGCCCCCGCUCAACGGGGUGAAGUGCCAUUGAUACUGCCUGGCUGGAAUGCGGAUGCCGUGGGAGGAAUGUGUGGUGUAGCGGUGAAAUGCAUAGAUAUCACACAGAACACCGAUUGCGAAGGCAUCUCACGAAUCCGCGAUUGACGCUGAUGCACGAAAGCGUGGGUAUCAAACAGGAUUAGAUACCCCUGUAGUC
rnacentral:rRNA from 1 species